GGGUGUUUGGUUUAUUGGUAUGAUUUUUGUUUUGGGUGCGAGAGGUUGUGAGUUCAAUUCUCACAACACCCC
rnacentral:tRNA from 1 species